GUGUUCAUCACUCUCAGGCUAGUUCAUUCUCUGCCUCUAGAAUAUCCUCAGGUUUACCAUUUAAGUGUUCCUGCAACUUCAUGGCUCUAGCAUCUUUUGCUCUAGGGCUUUUCUAGGAGCUUCCUAAAUGGCCAUCCUGCCACAAGCCUCAUAUAUUUCCUGACAUCUGAAACAGCACUUCCGUUAUGCCAGUCCCCUGUUCAUCAGCUACCAAUGAUCACUGGUUGCCUACCUAAAAAAAUAAAAAUUUUCUAUCCUA